GAUGAACGCUAGCUACAGGCUUAACACAUGCAAGUCGAGGGGUAACGAGAGGAAAGCUUGCUUUCCUUGUUGACGACCGGCGCACGGGUGAGUAACGCGUAUCCAACCUGCCCCCAACUAGGGAAUAACCUUGCGAAAGUAAGACUAAUACCCUAUAAUUUCCUCAGAUGUCAUCUGACGAGGAAUAAAGAUUUAUCGGUUGUGGAUGGGGAUGCGUCUGAUUAGCUUGGUGGCGGGGUAACGGCCCACCAAGGCAACGAUCAGUAGGGGUUCUGAGAGGAAGGUCCCUCACAUUGGAACUGAGACACGGUCCAAACGCCUACGGGAGGCAGCAGUGAGGAAUAUUGGUCAAUGGGCGGAAGCCUGAACCAGCCAAGUAGCGUGCAGGAUGACGGCCCUAUGGGUUGUAAACUGCUUUUAUACAGGAAUAAAGUUAGCCACGUGUGGUUAUUUGUAGGUACUGUAUGAAUAAGGACCGGCUAAUUCCGUGCCAGCCGCCGCGGUAA
rnacentral:rRNA from 1 species